AGAGUUUGAUCCUGGCUCAGGACGAACGCUGGCGGCGUGCUUAACACAUGCAAGUCGAACGAUGAAGCCUAGCUUGCUAGGUGGAUUAGUGGCGAACGGGUGAGUAAUACGUGAGUAACCUACCUUUAACUCUGGGAUAAGCCUGGGAAACUGGGUCUAAUACCGGAUACGACCAAUCUCCGCAUGGGGUGUUGGUGGAAAGCGUUAUGUAGUGGUUAUAGAUGGGCUCACGGCCUAUCAGCUUGUUGGUGAGGUAACGGCUCACCAAGGCGACGACGGGUAGCCGGCCUGAGAGGGUGACCGGCCACACUGGGACUGAGACACGGCCCAGACUCCUACGGGAGGCAGCAGUGGGGAAUAUUGCACAAUGGGCGCAAGCCUGAUGCAGCGACGCCGCGUGAGGGAUGACGGCCUUCGGGUUGUAAACCUCUGUUAGCAGGGAAGAAGAGAGAUUGACGGUACCUGCAGAGAAAGCGCCGGCUAACUACGUGCCAGCAGCCGCGGUAAUACGUAGGGCGCGAGCGUUGUCCGGAAUUAUUGGGCGUAAAGAGCUUGUAGGCGGUUUGUCGCGUCUGCUGUGAAAGGCCGGAGCUUAACUCCGUGUAUUGCAGUGGGUACGGGCAGACUAGAGUGCAGUAGGGGAGACUGGAAAUUCCUGGUGUAGCGGUGGAAUGCGCAGAUAUCAGGAGGAACACCGAUGGCGAAGGCAGGUCUCUGGGCUGUAACUGACGCUGAGAAGCGAAAGCGUGGGGAGCGAACAGGAUUAGAUACCCUGGUAGUCCAUGCCGUAAACGUUGGGCACUAGGUGUGGGGGACAUUCCACGUUUUCCGCGCCGUAGCUAACGCAUUAAGUGCCCCGCCUGGGGGAGUACGGCCGCAAGGCUAAAACUCAAAGAAAUUGACGGGGGCCCGCACAAGCGGCGGAGCAUGCGGAUUAAUUCGAUGCAACGCGAAGAACCUUACCUAAGCUUGACAUCCCUCGGACAGGUGUUUAAUCACACCCUUCCUUCGGGACUGAGGUGACAGGUGGUGCAUGGUUGUCGUCAGCUCGUGUCGUGAGAUGUUGGGUUAAGUCCCGCAACGAGCGCAACCCUUGUCUUUAGUUGCCAGCAUUCAGUUGGGCACUCUAGAGAGACUGCCAGGGAUAACCUGGAGGAAGGUGGGGAUGACGUCAAAUCAUCAUGCCCCUUAUGCUUAGGGCUACACACGUGCUACAAUGGGUGGUACAGAGGGUUGCCAAACCGUGAGGUGGAGCCAAUCCCUUAAAGCCAUUCUCAAUUCGGAUUGUAGGCUGAAACUCGCCUACAUGAAGCUGGAGUUACUAGUAAUCGCAGAUCAGAAUGCUGCGGUGAAUGCGUUCCCGGGUCUUGUACACACCGCCCGUCACACCACGGGAGUCGGAAACACCCGAAGCCGAUUAUCCAACCGCAAGGAGGAAGUCGUCGAAGGUGGCGUCGAUAACUGGGGUGAAGUCGUAACAAGGUAACC
rnacentral:rRNA from 1 species